rnacentral:lncRNA from 1 species
GGGCCAGCCCCGCCCUCAGGGUGGGCUGAGGUGCGGCUCCCUGGAGACCCCGCCCGCUAGCCGGGAGCCAGCGGCGCAGUGCGAGUUCAGCCCGCUUUCUUCGCGCUCCGCGUCAAAUCUCUCCAGCUCUGUUCUCGCAUCCCGGGUUUAGAUCCCGCAGAGUUAAGUAUCCCGCGUGUGAAGGGAUGAACUGAGACUCCCAGAGGGCAUAACUGAUGGAGGCACGAAGAUGUCUGCUCUUCAGCUUUGCCAAGGUGAUAUUAAAAUGAGAGUGGGGGAAGUAUAAUGGGUCCAUACAUCACUUGCCUGAUUUCUUCUUUUCCAUUGCUUUUCCAAAGGUAGUAUGGUGUAAGGGGCUUUGGGGAAUCCAGACAGACCUGGACUUCACACGCCCGUCAUUUAUUUCACUACUAGUGAAAUGCUGGCGUAGUUACGCCUAAGUUCUCUGAGACUGUCCCUCAUCUCUAAAACCACCCCUCCUCUGGUGAACUAAGGAUGGCGAUAACGCUUUAUGUAAAGUGCCUGGCCAGAUACUCAAUAAAUGUUAAUUUUCCAAGCUUAUACAUGCAUCAGUCACUAAGUUCUCCAAACAUUUCCAUAUCCUGGAGAAAGUUUCUCUCAAUUAUUUGGAAGAGUGGAAGUGAUAUGCCCCGCCCCAAAAAAAUCCAUUUCCUCCAUUCUUCAUACCAUUAAUGCCUUCUAUUUAUGGUUUUGCUUAAUAGUUAUAACCCCUGCCACCCAGCCAACAAAACAGAACAACAGCAACAAAAAAC